rnacentral:rRNA from 1 species
CCUACGGGAGGCAGCAGUGAGGAAUAUUGGUCAAUGGACGAGAGUCUGAACCAGCCAAGUAGCGUGAAGGAUGACUGCCCUCUGGGUUGUAACCUUCUUUUAUAUGGGAAUAAAAUGUUCCACGUGUGGGAUUUUGUAUGUACCAUAUGAAUAAGGAUCGGCUAACUCCGUGCCAGCAGCCGCGGUAAUACGGAGGAUCCGAUCGUUAUCCGGAUGUAUGGGGUGUAAAGGGAGCGUAGGUGGAAUGUUAAGUCAGUUGUGAAAGUUUGCGGCUCAACCGUAAAAUUGCAGUUGAAACUGGCAGACUUGAGUAUAGUAGAGGAUGGCGGAAUUCGUGGUGUAGCAGUGAAAUGCUUAGAUAUCACGAAGAACUCCGAUGGCGAAGGCAGUUCACUGGACUGCAACUGACACUGAGGCUCGAAAGUGUGGGUAUCAAACAGGAUUAGAUACCCCGGUAGUC